rnacentral:rRNA from 1 species
GAUGAACGCUAGCUACAGGCUUAACACAUGCAAGUCGAGGGGAAACGGCAUUUAGUGCUUGCACCGAAUGGACGUCGACCGGCGCACGGGUGAGUAACGCGUAUCCAACCUACCCAUUACUGUGGGAUAACCUGCCGAAAGGCAGACUAAUACCGCAUAGUCUUCGAUGACGGCAUCAGAUUUGAAGUAAAGAUUUAUCGGUAAUGGAUGGGGAUGCGUCUGAUUAGCUUGUUGGCGGGGUAACGGCCCACCAAGGCGACGAUCAGUAGGGGUUCUGAGAGGAAGGUCCCCCACAUUGGAACUGAGACACGGUCCAAACUCCUACGGGAGGCAGCAGUGAGGAAUAUUGGUCAAUGGGCGCGAGCCUGAACCAGCCAAGUAGCGUGCAGGAUGACGGCCCUAUGGGUUGUAAACUGCUUUUGUAUGGGGAUAAAGUCAAUCACGUGUGAUUGUUUGCAGGUACCAUACGAAUAAGGACCGGCUAAUUCCGUGCCAGCAGCCGCGGUAAUACGGAAGGUCCGGGCGUUAUCCGGAUUUAUUGGGUUUAAAGGGAGCGUAGGCCGGAGAUUAAGUGUGUUGUGAAAUGUAGACGCUCAACGUCUGACUUGCAGCGCAUACUGGUUUCCUUGAGUACGCACAACGUUGGCGGAAUUCGUCGUGUAGCGGUGAAAUGCUUAGAUAUGACGAAGAACUCCGAUUGCGAAGGCAGCUGACGGGAGCGCAACUGACGCUAAGCUCGAAGGUGCGGGUAUCGAACAGG